rnacentral:rRNA from 1 species
CAAUAGCGUAUAUUAAAGUUGUCGCAGUUAAAAAGCUCGUAGUUGGAUUUGUGGCGUACGGUGUGUUCCGGGCACUUGUUGUCUGAGUAACCUGCUGUUGCCAUCCUUGGGUGGAACCUGUGUGGCAUUAGGUUGUCGUGCAGGGGAUGCCCAUCAUUUACUGUGAAAAAAUUAGAGUGUUCAAAGCAGGCUUAUGCCGUUGAAUAUAUUAGCAUGGAAUAAUGAGAUAGGACUUUUUUGCUAUUUUGUUGGUUUGCGCAAGAAGGUAAUGAUUAAUAGGGACAGUUGGGGGUAUUCGUAUUCCAUUGUCAGAGGUGAAAUUCUUGGAUUUUUGGAAGACGAACUACUGCGAAAGCAUUUACCAAGGAUGUUUUCAUUAA